rnacentral:rRNA from 1 species
GACGAACGCUGGCGGCGUGCUUAACACAUGCAAGUCGAGCGGAAAGGCCCCUUCGGGGGUACUCGAGCGGCGAACGGGUGAGUAACACGUGGGUAAUCAACCCCUGACAUCGGGAUACCCCGGGGAAACCCGGAUCAAUACCGGAUAAGGUGCGGAGGCGCAGGCCGCCGUACCAAAGGUAGCUUCGGCCUCCGGUCAGAGACCAGGCCGCGGCCCAUUAGCUUGAUGGUGGGGUAACGGCCCACCAAGGAGACGAUGGGUAGCUGGUCUGAGAGGACGAUCAGCCACACUGGGACUGAGACACGGCCCAGACUCCUACGGGAGGCAGCAGUGGGGAAUCUUGCGCAAUGGGCGGAAGCCUGACGCAGCAACGCCGCGUGCGGGAAGAGGGCCCUAGGGUCGUAAACCGCUUUCAGGGGGGACGAAGCUUCCGGGGUUAAUAGCCUACGGGGUGACGGUACUCCCAGAAGAAGGUCCGGCUAACUACGUGCCAGCAGCCGCGGUAAGAC